GGCUGGUCUGAGUGCAGUGGUGUUUACAAUGAACUGAUCACAGCCAGUUACAGAUUUCUUUGUUCCUUCUCCACUCCCACUGCUUUGCUUGACUAGACUUAA
rnacentral:Y_RNA from 2 species